rnacentral:rRNA from 1 species
UGCAGUCGAGCGGUAGCACAGAGAGCUUGCUCUCGGGUGACGAGCGGCGGACGGGUGAGUAAUGUCUGGGAAACUGCCUGAUGGAGGGGGAUAACUACUGGAAACGGUAGCUAAUACCGCAUAAUGUCGCAAGACCAAAGUGGGGGACCUUCGGGCCUCAUGCCAUCAGAUGUGCCCAGAUGGGAUUAGCUAGUAGGUGGGGUAACGGCUCACCUAGGCGACGAUCCCUAGCUGGUCUGAGAGGAUGACCAGCCACACUGGAACUGAGACACGGUCCAGACUCCUACGGGAGGCAGCAGUGGGGAAUAUUGCACAAUGGGCGCAAGCCUGAUGCAGCCAUGCCGCGUGUGUGAAGAAGGCCUUCGGGUUGUAAAGCACUUUCAGCGGGGAGGAAGGCGGUGAGGUUAAUAACCUUGUCGAUUGACGUUACCCGCAGAAGAAGCACCGGCUAACUCCGUGCCAGCAGCCGCGGUAAUACGGAGGGUGCAAGCGUUAAUCGGAAUUACUGGGCGUAAAGCGCACGCAGGCGGUCUGUCAAGUCGGAUGUGAAAUCCCCGGGCUCAACCUGGGAACUGCAUUCGAAACUGGCAGGCUAGAGUCUUGUAGAGGGGGGUAGAAUUCCAGGUGUAGCGGUGAAAUGCGUAGAGAUCUGGAGGAAUACCGGUGGCGAAGGCGGCCCCCUGGACAAAGACUGACGCUCAGGUGCGAAAGCGUGGGGAGCAAACAGGAUUAGAUACCCUG